GCGAUUCGCCCUUGGGGUGCAGCAGGCGCGAAAACUUUACAAUGCGGGAAACCGUGAUAAGGGAACUCCGAGUGCCCGUAAAAUCGGGCUGUCCAUCUGUUUAAAUAACAGGUGAAGAAAGGGCCGGGCAAGACCGGUGCCAGCCGCCGCGGUAAUACCGGCGGCUCGAGUGGUGGCCACUAUUACUGGGCUUAAAGCGUUCGUAGCUGGUCUGUUAAGUCUCUGGGGAAAUCUACUGGCUUAACCAAUAGGCGUUUCAGGGAUACUGGCAGACUAGGGACCGGGAGAGGUGAGGGGUACUCCAGGGGUAGGAGUGAAAUCCUGUAAUCCUUGGGGGACCACCUGUGGCGAAGGCGCCUCACCAGAACGGCUCCGACAGUGAGGGACGAAAGCUGGGGGAGCAAACCGGAUUAGAUACCCGGGUAGUCCCAGCCGUAAACGAUGCGCGUUAGGUGUAUCGGUGACCACGAGUCACCGAGGUGCCGAAGAGAAAUCGUGAAACGUGCCGCCUGGGAAGUACGGUCGCAAGGCUGAAACUUAAAGGAAUUGGCGGGGGAGCAC
rnacentral:rRNA from 1 species